rnacentral:rRNA from 1 species
GACGAACGCUGGCGGCGUGCCUAAUACAUACAAGUCGAACGAGGUCCAUGGGAGCUUGCUCCCGGACGACCGAGUGGCGAACGGGUGAGUAACACGUGAGGAACCUGCCCUGGAGUGGGGAAUAACUCGGGGAAACUCGAGCUAAUACCGCAUACCCUCGGAUGAGCGCAUGGUCGACCGAGGAAAGUUCUUCGCUCUAGGAGGGCCUCGCGGCCUACCAGCUUGUUGGUGGGGUAACGGCCUAACAGGGCAGCGACGGGUUGCUGGUUUGAGAGAACGAUCAGCCACACUGGGACUGAGACACGGCCCAGACUCCUACGGGAGGCAGCAGUAGGGAAUCUUGCGCAAUGGGCGAAAGCCUGACGCAGCAACGCCGCGUGCGGGAUGACGGCCUUCGUGGUUGUAAACCGCUUUCAGCAGGGACGAAGAUGACGGUACCUGCAGAAGAAGCCCCGGCUAACUACGUGCCAGCCGCCGCGGUAAGAC